GGUCAGGAAGCUGCCAAGGCUGCAUCUUAGGACCCACCAUGGGCCCAGAUCCAUAGAAGUAAAACGGCCUAGAAGAGUGACUGCUCUCUGAGUCCCAGGUUAAGGCUGGUCUUCCCGUAGAAAUGAAGGUGAACAGUAUUAGAAUGAAACAGACCAGGCUAUGAGCUUGUUAGCUUUGAAGGGUAGAGAGAACCAUGAGAGGUCCAGUAACUGCAGUCCAUGGCAGAGACUGCUGACAGCCACAGCAGUUAUCUUGGGAGAAACCAACCUUGAGGACCUACCGACUUCACCUAGCCCAAUUAGCU